GUCAACAUGUUGAAUUGAAAAUUUUAGGUGUUUGGAAUUGAUCAAGAAAAACAUCGCGAAUUGUUCUCUCGUGUGAAAGAACGCAAGCCUCCCACGUGUCAUGUUGAAGUCAACGUUGUUGAAGCAAAAGGCAUUGAAGCAAAAGACGCUAAUGGUUUUAGUGAUCCAUAUUGUAUGCUUGGUAUUGUCAUUGAUGACUCGUUUGAUCGUAAGUUAAA